CAGAAAGCUGAAGCGAGCAGCCCAGGCUGGUGCUGCAGGAUGAAAUCUUAUACUUCUGUGCCUGGCAAUGAAGUUUUAAUCACCUCAAUAUACAUCGUUCCACAAUAUAUAUUUUUCUGUCUACCAAAGACAUAAUGGCUCCUCCUUUUAUGGGAAACCAGGAUUUAAUCCAGAUUUUGUAAUAGAUGACAACCUCGGAAAAAAAACAGUGUUCUUUUUUUCUACUAUUUAAGAUUGUUUAAACAAUAAAUAUAUAGCAUGUUUCAUAAUGACAUUGAAGUAACCAAGAGAAGGAGGCAUGGUGCUCUGGAUAAUGCUAUAUGCGGAUGUAUUCCUGUGUGGCUUUUCUUCCCAAUGCCAGUUAACCACCCACCCAAAGCCAUAAAAAACAGCAAGAGGAAUGGGUAGGAGAGGAUGGAAUAAUUCAAAUAAAUGACAGAAUUGGAGACCAUCCAGUGUCCUGCUCUGUGGAUGAAGUUGGAGUGGUCGGGCUCUCAGAAAGUUACUCCUACGCAUGGCAUUCUGGAUCCACUGACACAGAAGAUAAUUUCUCUGUAUUUUCUUUAAUGAACGACCUAUUAUGAAGAAGCAAGAAAAACCCAUACUGUACAAUUCUUCCACAGAUAAACUGGAGGGACGUCUAUGAGGGUGAGGAUUCCAAAUUUCAGGGAUGGAUCAUGGAAGAACACUCAGGAGGCAAUGACCUCUGGCAUUUGGAAGGCCAAAUAACAGUGGGAUAAGUGGCUUAGACAGAGUUAAGCAAGAGAGAAUGUUCCACCCCACACUGGCGUGGUGCUCUGCUCCACUCCAUUUCACGUCUCCAUGAAGUCAUGUCCCUAAAUCCAGAAAGUUUCCAUCAGAAAUGCUCAGUAUUGCAUGUUUAGUAUAACUCUUACACUCUGACAAAACUUCUGAAGCACAACAAAUUAAUCUGGAAAUUCGGAUCGCUUUCAAUGGUGCUAUACCAGGGAUAUAACAGCAGCUCCACAGAGAGAAGGUGGGAUCGUUGCAUCGAGGGAUUGAUUGCCAUGGAGGAAGACCAGAAAAUGGAUAAAUAACAGAAACAAAAGGAGCAGCAGAGAAGGUGGAAAGAGGAAACAGAAAUGGUGAAGUGAUACCAUAAUGCUCUACUGGCUCAAAAGCAAGGAAAAAUUAUGAAAGCAUUAAUUUAUUCAUUUUCAGCCAAAUGAAAACAAAAACAAAACAAAACAAACUAGUGCGUAAGAAGAGACAGAAAAUAGAGCAGAAAUUAGAACCUGUGAAGAAAACAGGCAGCAAAGGAAGAGGAAAUGAAGAGAAUGGUGAAACAAGUGCUGGAAGUAAAGGAGUGGUGGGGGGGAAAGGCAACACAAAGAGAUCUGAUGCAUGGGGCUUUUAGCAGACCCUGUAAUCCUGGGGAAGCAGUAGCCAGCAGAGGGUAUUCACUCAAGACCAAGGAGCGGAGAAGCACGUUGGUAUUCCCUGAAGAUAAAACAAACCGAGUGGAAAGUUCACUGUCUUCCUUUUGAAGAUGACUGAAGGUUUCCAUUUCAGCCGAUCCUUCCGAGCAGCCUGUCUUUGGAAAUAAAUGUUACCCCUCUGAUAAGCUAACCAAUUUGAAGAUUAAAGCUGCAUUUGAUGAUUAAAGUUUUUCUUAUUUGAUUAUUGUUGUGUCUUGUAGCAAUAGAAGAUAAAUAUUAAUAAAAUGUUAAAGUCCAAUUCUGCUUGCUUUACUCUUUGAGCAUUUUAAACAAUGAGCCUGAACAAAUUAGGCAGGAUUUGGCCCCUACACUCAGCACUGACUGCUCUGUUUUCUCAGUCCACUAAGAGUAAGUCUCCCGUGAAAUGUUACAUGUACCCGGCCAGCUCACAAACCCACUGCUGCCACAGAAAACUCCCGCUGAUGGGUAGCUCUGAAAACUCGCCGUCCAAUUAUAUACCACAGAGCUAUGUAUGUGUUUUUAUCGAGGAGAAGAAAAACCACAAGAAGCGCUCUACAGCAGACCACAAAAUGGGUUUGGCACCUGUGUCUCCUCGGGGCCAAAGUUUGGGAGCUGUGUUAUCGCGGGGCCGGCUGACCCCGGGGAGCGGCGCUGACCUUGUCUUGCACGCAGAAGUCUAUCGCUACGGCUCCCCCGAGAGCGCAGCCAGCUGCAAACUGCUGCCAUGAUUAACCCUUAUGUGCUGGAGACGUAACGUCAAGUCAUGGUAAUAAAGCUUUCACUGCAUAACAGAUCUCUUGCUUUGUAAAUUGUUGCUCUUAUCAGCUGCACUCUCGGAUGUUAUCCCUUUUCUGUGAAGCAUGACUGCUGUGUUGCUCACUGGAAAGGCUACCGGAUCUAUACAGUCUGUGAUAUUUAUUCAAUUGCUUUGGAGAGCGGUGCAGAGAAUGUGUUUUGUUUAAAUGAAAAGUGCAGUGUGUGAAAACAGAUGAAAAAAAAAAAGAGAGAGAGAAAUUCUCAUACAUAUGAAGCAAUAUAUUAAUUAAAAUCCAGAAUGCCUCCAGCAGAUUUGAAUCCAGGAACACCAGAUUUGCUAUAGCAGACAACUGUGUUGUUUCACCGAGUCCAGACUCCUGUUUGUGGAAGUAAUUUACACCUAGUGUUUGUAAAAAUGCAAACCUCGAGCCUGUGACGUAGCUGGACAAUUAUAGAGCUUUGCCAUUCGGCUGGAAACAGAGCACUCACACAACAAACAUAAGCUGUGUAAGUCUUAUUUUGUCAUGCACUUCAAAUAUGAGACCUAACUCUGUGCUCUCCGGUUUGCAGAGAAGUCAGUGGGAGCUGUGAGCAUCCGUCAGCCUGCGAUCCCAGUGUGCAGGGCUGAACAGGGCCCAGGCCUCCUCAGCGCCACAGAGCCCGUACCUCAGUGUGCUGCCUGCUCUCCAGCCCUCCCCUUGCCAAAGCUUUGGCCACAUCGCAGCUCUGAAUGAAAAAGUGGCCUUAACGUAAGCCCUGGGACAACUCAAUGUUAUCUGCUCCAGUCUGAGAGGAGCAGGAGCCUAUCUGUGCUGCCGGCAUUGCCAGGGCUCGGCUGCUGAGCCAGGUCUGCACUGCACCCACUGCUAAGCGCUGUGAGAGGACUCAGGAACGGCGCGGCCCGUCCCAGUGGCAGCUCUGCGAUCCUCAGGAGCGGGACCAGGAGGCCUGGCACACCAGGAGCAGGUCAGUCAUGCUGUGAGCGGGCGGUCGGUCAGGCUGUGAGUGGGAGGCCGGGCUCACAGGGCCGCCCCUGUAACCAGACCCUCUGCAUGUCCAAUCUCUGCUGUACUCUGGGGUUCAUAGCAAAUGUCUCUGGCCUGGAGUUUGUAGUUGUGGUCGUUGGUUGCUCCUAACGUCAUGUGGUUUGUCCCCAAGGAACCAAGGGCAGAGGCCAUCCUUGCUGCGAGGGUUUUGCUGUUCCCCACAACGGAGAAGCGCCCUCGGCCGGUGGUGCUCUGCUUUUUGGCACCUGGGUUCAGCUGCUUGAAAGGCACGGCAGACAGCUCCUGUACGGCCUGGGGCAGUCAGGGUUGUGUCAGCUGGGCUGCUCUCCGGUGGCACAGUGAACGUUUUCCUCAGGGCCCACAGAGGAAAGAGCUGGGGUUGGCCGUCCCUUCCCACCUCCCUGGGCCACCACUGUAACACCAACACCUGUAGUUAAAAAAUGCCAUCAGACCCUGCAGGUCCUGCAUGGCACCUGUGCGUGUCAGAGGGGCUAGGGCUGUAUCCUGCUCUGUGUGUGAGCUCCCACGUGCCCUCCCAUCCCUUCUCCCCUGCCACAAGGUACGGCCGCUGCCUGCUGUUUGGUGACUUAAAAAGGGGAGAAAGCAAUGAGUUUGGCGAAAUUAUCUUGAAGUUAUUUUGUUCCCUUGUGAGGUUUGGGUGUGAAGGGAGCUUCUAGUGUAUUAACUCCUAUUAAUAUUAAGCCUCUACUGUUAAUAGGAUUUGCAUAUGGAAAGGAAGAAGAUUGACCUUUAAAUUCAUUUAAUAAAGCAAAUUUUAAAAAUAAUUUUAGUUAAAAGCAUUAGUGCGGUGAAAAAUACAAGAACAAAUACAUAGACAUCAGUAUCCGGGCUUUUGGUAAUGCUAAUGAGCAAAUUAUUGCAGGGGAAGAUUUGCAUCACUGGAAUACAUGUUCCAGCCUCCAUCCUGAUGUAUGUGAUGUGGGGUUAUCUGCGUAGGGCUCCUCUUUCAGAACACAUUUUCCUCAUAUAAAAUAGCCUCCUCUUAACUCCCAUUGGGGACUGCCUUAUAAAUGAGGAAGCGGUCCUCAAGGGAUUGGCUUGGCUAAAAAAGUGCGUUAUUUAAAAACAAGAACAAAAACUUAUUAGAAUAUUAAGCAAUAUAAUUAGCUCAUUUCUUUUUUUUUUAAUCUUAAAAAAAAAAAGUAUAGCCAAUUUUAAUUAAACACGUUCACUAGAUGUUUGAAUCGUGUAAGAAUUAGAAAAUGGUCCUGCAUUUUAGAGUGAUGAGUGCUUCAGUUUCAGGUCCUUGCUCUGAUUGCUGUAGUCGGGUGCAGCCGCAGUGCAGCGGAUAAAGGAGUUCUCCUGUCCCAGGACCCAUUCUGCCCCUGGAGGGGCACUCUGAGCCCUGGGAGGGGAUGCACGUGUUCCCUUUGCGUGGGAAGGGACAUGGGUUGCCUAUACCAAAGCUGGCUAAGUGGUCAAAGUAGUGUUGUCCCCACUGCUAAAUGCUGAUUUACACGUGCUGAAAGGCUUCCGUUGCCCUCACAGCAAGUGAUGGAAGGUAUAAUUGGAUUAGUAACACGGCAUCGCUCUUCGGGUCUGGUGGGUGAGAACCGCUGCCCGGUGGCCCUGAUCUCUGGUGUUCGCUGCUCCUCAGGCCUUGACCCACCCGCGGCGCUGCUUCCUAGCAUGGUUCCCUGCAGUGCUCUGAGGUGCACGGGCGGAGCUUGCUGCAGGCUCAGGGGAAUAUUUGUCGGUAUUCGGCGGUACUUCCUUACGCAGCAGGGUCCAGAAAUCCAUCUGUUUGCGCUGCUCCUGCCCUGCCCCGAGCCCACCCCAGUGGGAUGAGGUGAAACUGUUCAGGUUCCUCUUCUCAGAGCCUCACUGAUGUCAUCUGUUGGAUGCAGCUCUGAGCAUCUGAGGUUGGUGAAAUUAAAUAAGGUGCGAGCAUCCUUUGGUCUGUGGCUCUCUGCCACACACUUUAGAACAAUUACUCGCGGUAACCUUAACAAUAGUGUAUUAAGGAAAAAAAAAAUCUUCAUAAAAGGAUUUAGCGUUGGGAUGGAGCUCUGCCUGGUAUUAGAACAAUUACGAAGCAGAUGCACCCACUCCAAGCAAAGUGACCUUUUCAUCAAGUUACAAAACAUUAAAGGUUAAGGGAUGUUUGAAAGGAAGUUAAUACUUUUAAAACAGUAGAAAAAAAUGGCCAUCCUUUCAAGACCUGACCAAACCUGUGGGAAACUUCCAGUCGUAAUUUAAGUAACUCUUACAAUAGAAAGAUGGAAAGUAUUUUACAUCGUCUGUUUUAUUUUAAAACCGCACACACUUUUUUAGAGAAGCAAUGGGAUUUGAUAACAAGAACUACCCCACGGAAGAAACCCGCUCUAAAGCUGGUUAAUUGCAAUUUUUAAGUCACUUUUUUUUUUUUCUCUCCAUUGUGCACCGAUGACACGAGAACAAAGAGAGCGAAUCAAUGCCGGUGUCACACUUUCUCAGUUUCCACCUCCCGCCCGACCCGGCCGUGCCAACGGGACCCGCUGGUGCUCGGCGCUCCUCGGCCCUGGGCACGGGCGGAGCGCGGGGCCGCUGCAGCCCACGUCCCGCCGCGGCGGAGCGGCACCGGGCGCCAGGGGCAGAGCGAGGUCCCUUCUGGGCAGCCGGGCGGCUUUGUCAUUUCUUCAGUAUUUUUAAGAGAAACUCGCCUGUCUUAACGCAAACGCUGUAUGCAAAUUAGUAAAAUAGCCGCCUAGGAAAGAAGUUUCUGCGGAAAGAAAGGAGGGAUCUGGCAGGAGAAGCUCCGCUCCGCGCUUCUUCCCGCUGCAGGAUGUAUCUGGGCACAACCAAAUCUCCCUGCCGUGAGGUCACAGGCGCUCGCAAGGGCACGGCCGCGCUCGCCCGGCAGCGCCGACCCCCGAGUGAUGCAGGGAGCAGGCGGGGAUCCCUUUCCCCCCGCCUCGGCCCCGCCGGUGCCCCCGCCGCUCCCCGGCCCCGGGGGCUGCACGGAGGAGCUCCUCGAGCCGGAGCGGGGCCAACUUCGUGCGGGCGGGCUGCGCUGAGCCCUCUGCGCACAAUGGCUGCGGUUGGCACCCGGGGGAGGGAGUUUCAGGCUCUGUAACUAAUUUUCAUAAAGGGUUUUCCUACUGCCCAAGUGAACACAUUACGCUACAGUAGCUCUGAAUGGUAUCGCUCCUUUCCUUCAGAGCGGCGGCCGAUUGUUUCUUCAGAGACCCCCAAGUCCUUUCAAGGGGGGAAAAAAAAAAAAAAAAGUGAUAAUUCAGCGGGACAGCACCGCGGCGACAGAUCUCACAUCCCCGCGCACC